rnacentral:tmRNA from 2 species
GGGGCUGAUUCUGGAUUCGACGGGAUUUGCGAAGCCCUAGGAGCAUGCCGAGGGGCGGUUGGCCUCGUAAAAAGCCGCAAAAAAAUAGUCGCAAACGACGAAAACUACGCACUAGCAGCUUAAUACCCUGCUUAGAGCCCUCUCUCCCUAGCUUCCGCUCUUAAGACGGGGAUCAAGAGAGGUCAAACCCAAAAGAGAUCGCGUGGAUGUCCUGCCUGGGGCUGAAGCGUUAAAUCCAAUCAGGCUAGUUUGUUAGUGGCGUGUCCAUCCGCAGCUGACCGGCGAAUGUAAAGAUUGGACUAAGCAUGUAGUGCCGACGGUGUAGUAAUUUCGGACGGGGGUUCAAAUCCCCCCAGCUCCACCA